rnacentral:rRNA from 1 species
UACGGAGGAUGCGAGCGUUAUCCGGAUUUAUUGGGUUUAAAGGGUGCGUAGGCGGAUCGUUAAGUCAGGGGUCAAAUUGAGGGGCUCAACCCCUUCCCGCCAUUGAAACUGGCGAUCUUGAGUGGAAGAGAAGUAUGCGGAAUGCGUGGUGUAGCGGUGAAAUGCAUAGAUAUCACGCAGAACCCCGAUUGCGAAGGCAGCAUGCCGGCUUCCUACUGACGCUGAAGCACGAAAGCGUGGGGAUCGAACAGG